GGCUGAGGCUGCUGCACCGCACCAAAGGAUGGAGGCAGGGCCUCGCUGGUGAACAAUACCGUUCAUAUGUUGGCGAUGAACAGUGACACCACGAACCCCAAAGCAAUGUCAGCCAUGCGGAAGUCUCUCAAAUCAGGAUCCAAAAUAAACCUUCCCCCUUGAAGGAGAUGACCUCAGGCCUCUGUCAUAGCAACACAAACUGAGAGGUUGGAGGAAAGGGCGUCAGACUUCAGCAUUCAUUCUCCACCUGACUUUAGAUGAUGCUGGGCAUCUCAAGCAAGCCACAGAAUUUUUGGAGUCUGUUUCCACACAUCAGGACAGUCCCCAUCCGUCCCCCCAACUCCACUGUGACUAAUGACUCCAGCCCUCCAGCAGGUUCAAGCCUAUGCGAAACCUGCUCACUGGAGAACUCAGCAAACUCAGAUGUCCUGGGACUUUUGGAAUCUGCAUUGGCAUUGUCUCUUUGAGGAGCUCAGAUAGAAAAGAGGUUUCGGUAUAGGAAAUUAAGUUGCUACAGGUGUGAAUUGUAUAACAAUAAAAACGCCCUUUACUGAGGGGCAGUGAGUCAGUUCCCCUUGACUAGAGCUGGAA